ensembl:rRNA 5S_rRNA 5S ribosomal RNA
UGUCGAAGCCAUAUCACCCUGUAGCCCAAGACUGGUUGCCCAGUGAAGCAGGGUUGAGCCUGGUCAGUACCUGGAUGGGAGACCUCCUGGGAAAACUAAGUUGCUGCUGGAA